rnacentral:misc_RNA from 1 species
AACGCACCUUGCACCCUUUGGUAUUCCGAAGGGCACACCUGUUUGAGUGUCAUUAAUUCCUCAACCCUGUCAUUUUAUUAAUGGAAUGGCAAUGGUUGGAUGCUGAGUGUUGCUGGAUUUUCAGUUCAGCUCACUUUAAAUUUAUGAGCAGGCUCCUAUCGUUUUCGGACUGACUCAACGUAAUAAGAAAUUUCGUUGAGGACGCUUGACUGCGGCCGAAUUGUAGGGAAAUGCCGCUACUAGUUGACCCUUAUAUUUUAGACCUCAAAUCAGGUGGGACUACCCGCUGAACUUAA